CCUACGGGUGGCUGCAGUGGGGAAUAUUGCACAAUGGGCGGAAGCCUGAUGCAGCGACGCCGCGUGAGGGAUGACGGCCUUCGGGUUGUAAACCUCUUUCAGCAGGGACGCGGUACCUGCAGAAGAAGCACCGGCCAACUACGUGCCAGCAGCCGCGGUAAUACGUAGGGUGCAAGCGUUGUCCGGAAUUAUUGGGCGUAAAGAGCUCGUAGGCGGUUUGUCACGUCGGCUGUGAAAACCUGGGGCUCAACCCCGGGCCUGCAGCCGAUACGGGCUGACUAGAAUUCGGUAGGGGAGUCUGGAAUUCCUGGUGUAGCGGUGAAAUGCGCAGAUAUCAGGAGGAACACCGGUGGCGAAGGCGGGACUCUGGGCGAAUUGACGCUGAGGAGCGAAAGCGUGGGGAGCGAACAGGAUUAGAUACCCUUGUAGUC
rnacentral:rRNA from 1 species